CAGUCUGGCCAUACCACCCUGAGCACACCCCAGUUGCACCCAAUCUUGGAAGCCAAGAAGGGUCAAGCCGAGAGAGUACUUUGGUGGGACAGUAAGAUUUGUUUCUGAACUGA
ensembl:rRNA 5S_rRNA 5S ribosomal RNA